GUGUGCGUGGAAAAUGGCUGUCUCCUUUCCGUGGGGUGACGAUGAAAAACAUUUCCGUUCGUACGCACACUGUUUCGCGACUGAUACACUUUUCCUCUUCCUGCCGCCCGUUUUCCCGUUGGCCCCGCUCCCGGCCACGCUCGGUCCCGCGGGGAUGCUCUAGAAAUGGCGCGGCAGAAACCGGAGCAGCGUGAAUAUCCGGACGGCGGGGCAAAGGAUGGGUUACCGUUUGCACAGCGGCCAGCGGGCUGUGGGCAUGCCCUGAACAUGCCGGCUAGUGGCAGGCCCGCUUCGAGGAAUUGACAGUUUAUCGAUGGAAAAGACGCCAACCGCACUCGUAGUGACAAUUUUUACGGUGACAGAUUCGGUCGCGACAGGAAAAUCGACCACUAUACCCGGGGAAUGUGGAUAAAGAAGAGAGCCAAAGACAGAGCCAGUAGCAAAAAAGUAUAACCGAAGGUGUAUUUUAAAAUGGUUUAACACAUAACAAAUAUUCUAAAGUGUAGUCCAGUCUAGUCGCGAAGUGCAUGGCCGAGUUAUUCCGCUGAACCUGACGAAAGUUUUGACAGGCCUCAAAAUGUACGAGCAAAGUUGUGCAAAUUGUAUCGGGUUCUGUGGCAGAUGGCGCUUUCAUGUGUUUCCGGAAGUAGUCGGAACUCGUCCACGAUGGGUCGUUUAAAAAAAACUGGAACAGGAAGCGAUUGACUGGCUCAAUCGGGACAUAAAUUCCUCCAGCUACACCAUAAACCCUGGCCCUCGGGCCGUUUCCAAACCACCGGUAGAUUGAGAUAGUGCGACGGCCGUGUCUGUCCGUACCGAUCCGUGUUGAGAUGAUGCGCUGGCAAUCCCUCCCAGCUAGGGGCGCUUAUCAUCCGAUUCCGGGAACCAACCAGCACGUUGCAACGCGUCGUGAAAAAUGAAGCAUCGUAAAGCAACGGCAACGAUGACAAUGUCCCGGGACCGAAUCCGGCAUCCAGCGCGAUGCUACGGAGCCGUCGCUAUCUGCAGUCCCGGUUGGCAUUCGUAGUUGGCCAUGUUCUUGUUCUAUCUUCCACGCUUAUCAUUAUGCAUACACACCGCCAUCGACACACACACACGCACGGGAUGGUAAAUACUAAAUAGCGACAUCACCAUUACCUGGAUCGUGGUAUCUCGGCGAGGCAAGGAACGCUGGCAGACGCGGAUCGGUUUAAAGUCACCCCAUCCCGUUCAGGCUGUUCGGGAAUCUCGAAACGAACCAAAUUUAUUUGCUCACAGUCCGCACCGCACCACUACCCCAUGCUCCCUAGCCCACCACGAGCGACACAUUUGAAUAAGGAUAAGGUCAUCAUCGUUCGUCGGCCUUUUUUUCUGCCCUCUCGUUGGACUUUGCCGAUGACUCGCUUGCGUAGACAUGGCAGAAGUUGCUGGUAAUAUGAGAGGACGUGGCAAGGAACAGCUGCCCGUGGUGGCCAUUUUAUGAUGCGUGUGCGUGCGGUCGUGCGUGCAUUUCGAGAAUGUUUGAAGAUUGCCCUUGCCUUGCCCUUUCGGCGGGCAUCGGCGGGCAGACUGAUAAGAACACGGGAAUCAGAAUCAAAGCGAUUCCGUCAGGACCGCUUUGGGCUUCGGUAACUCAUGGACACACUUUAUGGCACAAUGGCCCGCAGAUGAUCAUGUAUGUGCAUGCGCAUGUGUGUGUGUGAUUGUGAUUGUGUAUGAGGGAAGCUAACGCAAACCGAAAUCGUUCUUUGUGCCGCGUGAAGCGAGAGAAAGGAAGCAGCGACGCCAUGACGCAGAUUGUCUUCUUUGCCCGGGCUGCUGUUGUUUACCGAAAGUAUCAUAUAGCGAUAAUACGUGCCUCGAUGCGGAAGGAAAGUACGCUAAGAUGUCGUUUCCCCAGCUGCUGCUACUGCGGCCGCAGAUUCAUCCCGACGGAUCCUCGGGGUUGGCAAACUUCUUUGUUCGCCAGGGUUGGACCAGAGCUGCGGUGAAGCUUACUCAUCAUCAUUCGGGCACACUAUCGAACCGUGUGCAGUGGGCUCCGUCGUAUGGAUGUCGGGGAUAAUAAUGGAGGACUGGGCGGAAACGGGUUCCCGAAUCGCCCUGCUGGGAGCCUUGCUUCCGGAUCAAACUUUUCAGCCUCAUCAGCCAUUUUGCGCGAGGGGCUUUUGCUGAGUCAAGCCGAACUCGCAGGGUGAAGAAAAGACGCCUCACAAGACGUCCAAUCGGAAGAUGCAAGCCUUGGACGUUCGUCGCAAGGUUGGAACGUAUCAGUGACGCGCUACGCCAAGUGAUGGAUUAAAUGUGCAAGCUUUGGUAAGCUUUGUUUGUGGCGCUCCAGGCGUAAAUGAAGGUAAACAUGUAUGACCGAUCGAAGUCUAGGGUGAUAAGAUGUGCCGUGAAGGAAUGGGCGCAUCCUGAAUGGCGCCACAAUGAAGUUUAUAGUCGAGGUGAAGGAUGACUAGGGAUGAGUAGCGUGAGGAUAUAAUAAGCAAUUUAAAGUCUAGAUUGAAAUUUUCACAUCAAACAUUGAAAGCUGGCACAUUUUUGCUAACCACUUCUAACCAUUGGUCUAAGACCUGCCUAAUAAGCAUUGGAUGACAAUUUUUGGCUAGUAAAAGGCACAGGGUCUUUGUUGGAAAUCUGUUUCGAAGUACAUGAAGCUCAAUUCAACCCCCAAGACUGUUAAAGCAGAAUAAAAACAAAUCUACUGGAAUAACUUUAUUUACACACCAAAACUUUUUAAACUUUUGAUGAGGGCUUUGAUGACGUCAACCAGUUUUUGGGUAUGCGAUUUGACGUUUGGAGCCUGAUAUGCUUCUGCUUUACAGUAUUUCCCUCUCAUCAGCUGCUUAAGGGCUGUUUAAACGCUGUAAAAGCUUAAAUAACUUCCUAUGAUAAGAUGGCUAGAUUGACCAAGCAAUUAAAAUUUGAUAGAGUUGCCAUAAAAUGUGAUGGUUUGUUACCGUAUCCCAUCCAUAUCGUGCUCUGCCACUCAUUUGAUUUACUUUUCCUUAACCCAGCGAUAAACUAAUCGAUUUGUGUUUUUAAAUCCACUUUCAAACAAUUAUCUUAUCAUUAGCAGAAAAAAUCGAAGCGCAAAGUUUUCUUCCUUCCAGUCCUUCAUUGUUUAUCGCUACCUUUUUUUUACGGUUGUGUUGUUUGAUUGAGUUGUAAGUGAUAAUGGGGUUGGUUUAUCAAAUCAAUCGCGUCCCGGUGUGGCGUGCCGCCAGUCUACCGCAAACAUAACAAUCGAUGUGUAUUUUGCUUUAUGUUAUAAAAUUAACCACACAGGUACACACAGGUCGGUGGCGUUUGCUUCUGCUAUGUUUUUGUGUUGCUUUCAUUCAGCUCCCGUUCAAUGGACGUCGGGUUUUGUUUUGAAGUCGAUGUAGCUUCUUUAUCAAUCAUCGCUUCCCCCAAACGUGAGCCACCGCCGUUUUUUUAAAGAUUGACUAAUUUUUUCCGAUCGAUAACUGACCGAGUUUGGCCUCUAUCAGUGGCGCGUGACGUUUGGUGGCCGGGGUUGUGAUUUUUUUACGCCUUCUCUAUCUCUUUUUCCUGGCGUUUUUGGCACGCGACAUGCGUACUUGCCGUCGUUAGGUUGGUGACCAACUUUAUCAGUAGCUAGUACGUAACGUGCGUAACCGCUUACCGACGGCAUUUGAAGUCCUUGUGUUUGGUUGGAAGGUAUAUUUAUUGAUAUGAUGAUAGCUUGAUCGGUUUGUGGAAGCGACACAACGGGAUAAUAUUCAGGAGGAUUGUAUUGGUAGAUCGAGUGUCCGUCCAUUAGCUUGGAUGCUAUGAAUCAGCACACACUAAACACGAUUAAUACUAACUGGCAAGAUUAUUCAAAUUUGUUGACACAAAUAAUUCGGAUAAAGGCAAGCUUUAAAGCUCGCUGUCUCUCGCAUCAUUAAGUAGCGUACUCAGGAGAUCUUUUGCUAUAUUAGCUAUGGCCCGCACCAUUACCGACCCACAGUUAGGGCCAAAUGAAUGGGGUACAGAUUUGGAAGGAAACCCACCAUUGCUUAGUUGUUUGUUUUCUCCAUUCCCGGCAUUCCGGCAAAUGUUUGUUUUCACAAAAAAUCAUCGUAUCAUUACAAUAAUCACAUAGCAUCCGACUUCCUUGCCGUCGAGAAAAAAACACACACACGCACACACAAAAACCCCACUCCGGAUUUUAAGGCCCGGUAAAGUGUCUGCUGCCACGAAACCGCGGACCGCUCCACGUAAACAAUCGGCGAACCUCAGGACCGCAGAGUUAGCCGGCUCGGGUUGGAGGAGGGAAGUGCUUUGGGGAAACAGGGGGGAACCCGAGCCACGACACGGGAGGUAAGUGAAAAUGUACAUAAAUCUCAUCGCAUCGCAUCGAGAAACCUCAUCUCACCUCCGAAAAAUCACAGCUAAUAAUUAAGAAAUAAACAUUGUUAAAGCUUAUCGGACAAACAGUGUCCCGGGCAUUCGGGGCUCUCGGGCGGGUUGGGCCGACGUAAUCGCAGAGAAGCAUGGGAAGAAUAAAAAUUGUUUGUCUAAAUAUUGUC